UACAGAGGUCCCAAGCGUUGUUCGGAUUCAUUGGGCGUAAAGGGUGCGUAGGCGGCGCGGUAAGUCGGGUGUGAAAUCUCGGAGCUUAACUCCGAAACUGCAUUCGAUACUGCCGUGCUUGAGGACGGGAGAGGAGACUGGAAUUUACGGUGUAGCGGUGAAAUGCGUAGAUAUCGUAAGGAAGACCAGUGGCGAAGGCGGGUCUCUGGACAGUUCCUGACGCUGAGGCACGAAGGCCAGGGGAGCAAACGGG
rnacentral:rRNA from 1 species